UGGGGAAUUUUGGACAAUGGGGGCAACCCUGAUCCAGCCAUUCCGCGUGAGUGAAGAAGGCCUUCGGGUUGUAAAGCUCUUUCGGCAGGGACGAAACGGUGGGCCCUAAUACGGUCUGCUAAUGACGGUACCUGAAGAAGAAGCACCGGCUAACUACGUGCCAGCAGCCGCGGUAAUACGUAGGGUGCGAGCGUUAAUCGGAAUUACUGGGCGUAAAGCGUGCGCAGGCGGUUGUGUAAGACAGGUGUGAAAUCCCCGGGCUUAACCUGGGAACUGCGCUUGUGACUGCACGACUAGAGUGCGGCAGAGGGGGGUGGAAUUCCUGGUGUAGCAGUGAAAUGCGUAGAGAUCAGGAGGAACACCGAUGGCGAAGGCAGCCCCCUGGGUUGACACUGACGCUCAUGC
rnacentral:rRNA from 1 species